rnacentral:rRNA from 1 species
GUGGAUUAGAUACCCUGGUAGUCCACGCCCUAAACGAUGUCUACUAGUUGUCGGGACUUAAUUGUCUUGGUAACGCAGCUAACGCGUGAAGUAGACCGCCUGGGGAGUACGGUCGCAAGAUUAAAACUCAAAGGAAUUGACGGGGACCCGCACAAGCGGUGGAUGAUGUGGAUUAAUUCGAUGCAACGCGAAAAACCUUACCUACCCUUGACAUGGCAGGAAUUCCGAAGAGAUUUGGAAGUGCUCGCAAGAGAACCUGCACACAGGUGCUGCACGGCCGUCGUCAACU